GACGAACGCUGGCGGCGUGCUUAACACAUGCAAGUCGAGCGGUAAGGCCCCUUCGGGGUACGACGAGCGGCGAACGGGUGAGUAACACGUGAGCAAUCUGCCCUUCACUUUGGGAUAACUCUGGGAAACGAGAGCUAAUACCGAAUACGACCACUUCAGGCAUCUGAUGGUGGUGGAAAGUUCCGGCGGUGAAGGAUGAGCUCGCGGCCUAUCAGCUAGUUGGUGGAGUAACCGGCCCACCAAGGCUUCGACGGGUAGCCGGCCUGAGAGGGUGACCGGCCACACUGGGACUGAGACACGGCCCAGACUCCUACGGGAGGCAGCAGUGGGGAAUAUUGGACAAUGGGCGAAAGCCUGAUCCAGCAACGCCGCGUGAGGGAUGACGGCCUUCGGGUUGUAAACCUCUUUCAGUAGGGACGAAGCGCAAGUGACGGUACCUACAGAAGAAGCACCGGCCAACUACGUGCCAGCAGCGCGGUAAUCACGAGAGUA
rnacentral:rRNA from 1 species